CCUACGGGUGGCUGCAGUAGGGAAUCUUUCACAAUGGGCGAAAGCCUGAUGGAGCAACGCCGCGUGCAGGAUGAAGGCCUUCGGGUUGUAAACUACUUUUAUCAGCGAGAAAUAUGAUGGUAACUUAUGACUCCGGCUCGGCUAACUACGUGCCAGCAGCCGCGGUCAUACGUAGGAUCCGAGCAUUAUCCGGAGUGACUGGGUGUAAAGAGUUGCGUAGGUGGCAUAAUAAGUAGCUAGUGAAAUCGGGUGGCUCAACCAUUCAGACUAUUAGCUAAACUGUUAAGCUCGAGACCGUUAGGGGUAACUGGAAUUUCUAGUGUAGGAGUGAAAUCCGUAGAUAUUAGAAGGAACACCAAUAGCGUAGGCAGGUUACUGGGACGGGUCUGACACUAAGGCACGAAAGCGUAGGGAGCAAACGGGAUUAGAUACCCGUGUAGUC
rnacentral:rRNA from 1 species